rnacentral:misc_RNA from 1 species
GACAAAGGCUGGCGCCCUUUGCGGAUCAUGCCGUUCAUUUCGCGAACCUUUGUACUUGUCCUUAUUGGAGACGUGCCGCUUUUAUAUACGUGCCAAAAUACCGUGCGUGCCAGCUGUCCGCGUUUUGCGCGUUGUUAGCCCAUUAGUUACGAUUUCAUUAGGUGUCAGCGUUCGUUACUGAGCUUCGACCAUCUAUUCCUUUCUGACUGCCUUUGGUGCUGUCGCUAGAGCCGCGAAGGUGCAUAUGUCAUCGAUAAGAAGGGCGCGAAUUAACGGCCCCCUCCACGUGGGCAUGCCUGCCACUUCGCUCUUAUUAAUGGCCCUGCGCGCGAGAGGACCCGAGAUCGAACACGCUUCUCGGGCGAGUGGGGUGCGGAUGGAGGGGGAUAUGAUAAAAGGAACCCCGAAAGAGGUCGCUGCGCUUUAUUAAGCGACGCUGGCCUAAUAGAACGGGAAAUUUAGUGUGCUACAAUGGGGAUCAAGUCACUCUUCUUGCUCGCAUUUUCAGCAUUCCUGGCACACACGGUGCAAGGCCAGUGCGGACCAACUGUGCCCUGCAGUGGUCCCUGCCAGCUCGGCUUGACGUUCCCUCGACUGUGCGGAAUCUGCGUCUGCGAGCCGGAGUGUCCGAUCUGUCCAUCGCGGUGCUACUACGAGCGCCGAGCAGGCAUGUGUCCGGCCUGCGCACCUACCCGCCACUGCUACAAGUAAUGGCAUCGCCGGAGUUAUGUUGCUCGGAACUGAAUAAAAGUUUGUGGACUCGUU